rnacentral:rRNA from 1 species
AGUGAACGCUGGCGGUAGGCCUAACACAUGCAAGUCGAACGGCAGCACAGUAAGAGCUUGCUCUUACGGGUGGCGAGUGGCGGACGGGUGAGGAAUACAUCGGAAUCUACUUUUUCGUGGGGGAUAACGUAGGGAAACUUACGCUAAUACCGCAUACGACCUACGGGUGAAAGCAGGGGAUCUUCGGACCUUGCGCGAUUGAAUGAGCCGAUGUCGGAUUAGCUAGUUGGCGGGGUAAAGGCCCACCAAGGCGACGCUCCGUAGCUGGUCUGAGAGGAUGAUCAGCCACACUGGAACUGAGACACGGUCCAGACUCCUACGGGAGGCAGCAGUGGGGAAUAUUGGACAAUGGGCGCAAGCCUGAUCCAGCCAUACCGCGUGGGUGAAGAAGGCCUUCGGGUUGUAAAGCCCUUUUGUUGGGAAAGAAAAGCAGCAGGUUAAUACCCCGCUGUUCUGACGGUACCCAAAGAAUAAGCACCGGCUAACUUCGU